UACGAAGGGGGCUAGCGUUGCUCGGAAUCACUGGGCGUAAAGCGCACGUAGGCGGAUCUUUAAGUCAGGGGUGAAAUCCUGGAGCUUAACUCCAGAACUGCCUUUGAUACUGGCGAUCUUGAGUCCGGGAGAGGUGAGUGGAACUGCGAGUGUAGAGGUGAAAUUCGUAGAUAUUCGCAAGAACACCAGUGGCGAAGGCGGCUCACUGGCCCGGUACUGACGCUGAGGUGCGAAAGCGUGGGGAGCAAACAGG
rnacentral:rRNA from 1 species